rnacentral:snoRNA from 1 species
GAGUUAUUGAUGAUUAUAAAAUUAAUUUCUCGUUCUGACUUACUUAAUUUAGACAUGACAAACUUGUUAUUAUAACCAUAAAAUCUGAGUUCC